rnacentral:rRNA from 1 species
UACGUAGGGUGCGAGCGUUAAUCGGAAUUACUGGGCGUAAAGCGUGCGCAGGCGGUUUUGUAAGCCAGAUGUGAAAUCCCCGGGCUUAACCUGGGAAUGGCAUUUGGGACUGCAAGGCUGGAGUGCGGCAGAGGAGACUGGAAUUCCUGGUGUAGCAGUGAAAUGCGUAGAUAUCAGGAGGAACACCGGUGGCGAAGGCGGCGACCUGGGUAGAUACUGACGCUGAGGCGCGAAAGCGUGGGGAGCAAACAGG